rnacentral:rRNA from 1 species
GAUGAACGCUGGCGGCGUGCCUAAUACAUGCAAGUCGAUCGAACAGACUAGGAGCUUGCUCCUCUGUCGUUAGCGGCGCACGGGUGAUUAACACGAGGAUAACCUACCUAUAAGACUGGGAUAACUUCGGGAAACCGGAGCUAAUACCGGAUAAUAUAUUGAACCGCAUGGUUCAAUAGUGAAAGACGGUUUUGCUGUCACUUAUAGAUGGAUCACCGCCGCAUUAGCUAGUUGGUAAGGUAACGGCCUACCAAGGGGACGAUGCGUAGCCGACCUGAGAGGGUGGUAGGCCACACUGGCAGUGAGACACGGUCCAGACUCCUACGGGAGGCAGCAGUAGGGAAUGUUACGCAAUGGGCGAAAGCUUGACGGAGCAACGCCGCGUGAGUGAUGAAGGUCUUCGGAUCGUAAAACUCUCUUAUUAGUGAAAAACAAAUGUGUAAGUAACUAUGCACGGCUUGACGGUACCUAAUCAGAAAGCCACGGCUAACUACGUG